rnacentral:rRNA from 1 species
GAGUUUGAUCAUGGCUCAGAUUGAACGCUGGCGGCAUGCUUUACACAUGCAAGUCGAACGGCAGCACAAGGAGCUUGCUCCUGGGUGGCGAGUGGCGAACGGGUGAGUAAUGUAUCGGAACGUGCCUGGUAGUGGGGGAUAACCACUCGAAAGAGUGGCUAAUACCGCAUGAGAUCUCUGGAUGAAAGCGGGGGACCUUUGGGCCUCGCGCUAUCGGAGCGGCCGAUAUCAGAUUAGGUUGUUGGUGGGGUAAAGGCCUACCAAGCCUGCGAUCUGUAGCUGGUCUGAGAGGACGACCAGCCACACUGGGACUGAGACACGGCCCAGACUCCUACGGGAGGCAGCAGUGGGGAAUUUUGGACAAUGGGCGCAAGCCUGAUCCAGCAAUGCCGCGUGCAGGACGAAGGCCCUCGGGUUGUAAACUGCUUUUGUACAGAACGAAAAGUCUCUGGCUAAUAUUCCGGGGAACAUGACGGUACU